rnacentral:rRNA from 1 species
GUCAUGGCUCGGGAUGAACGCUGGCGGCGUGCUUAACACAUGCAAGUCGAGCGAAGCACUUAGGAAAGAUUCUUCGGAUGAUUUCCUUUGUGACUGAGCGGCGGACGGGUGAAGGUAACGCGUGGGUAACCUGCCUCAUACAGGGGGAUAACAGUUAGAAAUGACUGCUAAUACCGCAUAAGACCACGGUACCGCAUGGUACAGUGGUAAAAACUCCGGUGGUAUGAGAUGGACCCGCGU